AGGGUGAAAGCUUCUUUCUUGGGGAUUAUGUUCUUAAUUUUGCUUAUUGGUUUUACUAUUUAGGUGCAAUAAUGUUUGGGGACACAUUGCUACCUUCAGAGUGUUCCCUAAUUGUUGAAGAGCUGAAGCAAACAUCAUUGUGUUUCCAAUGUGCUCACGGGUGACCAACAACUGUCCCUCUUGUCAACUUGGAGGCAUUGCAUAAGCAGAUAGCUAAGCUUGGAUUGUGGAAUGGUGGUUCUAAUGAAUUGUGGCAUGGGUUACAUCAGCAUGAACCCAGUUUAGAACGUGCAGCACAGCGUUUGAGCUCUGCCAGAGGUCUGUCUUGAUGAGUAACCAGUUGGUUUUCCAGAUUCAGUGGUGGCUGUGGUUCUCCACCAACACGCCUUUUUUCCUUGCCACUGUGAACCCAUUCUUUCAAUUUGUUAUGUAUAGUUCUCAUUCUGACCGCUGAAGUACCAAUAAUAUGUUGUACCAGUGUAACAGAGUCGCUUGUAGUUUGUAACGACAAUUAUUUGCACACAAUAAAAUCACACCUUAUUUUUUCA